rnacentral:rRNA from 1 species
UACGAAGGGGGCUAGCGUUGUCCGGAUUCAUUGGGCGUAAAGAGCUCGUAGGCGGCUUGUCAAGUCGGGUGUGAAACCUCCAGGCUCAACCUGGAGACGCCACUCGAGACUGUCAUGGCUAGAGUCCGGUAGGGGAUCACGGAAUUCCUGGUGUAGCGGUGAAAUGCGCAGAUAUCAGGAGGAACACCGAUGGCGAAGGCAGAUGAUCUGGGCCGUG